GACGGAGGGUGCUAGCGUUGUUCGGAAUGACUGGGCGUAAAGGGCGCGUAGGCGGCUCGUGAAGUCGGGUGUGAAAGCCCGGGGCUCAACCCCGGAACGGCAUCCGAUACUGGCGGGCUUGAGACCGGGAGAGGAGGGUGGAAUACCCAGUGUAGAGGUGAAAUUCGUAGAUAUUGGGUGGAACACCGGUGGCGAAGGCGGCUCACUGGACCGGUAUUGACGCUGAGGUGCGAAAGCGUGGGGGAGCAAACAGGG
rnacentral:rRNA from 1 species